UUAUGGAGCAUCGGUAUUCGGAGUGUUUCCUGCUUCUCUGGUAUUACAACGCUUGACCGUCCACCUCGGAAUCUCAAUACUCCGAAACAAUCCCUCCGAGAGAGAAAAAAAAAACAAAAAAUACGUGUGGCGUUGUACGAUCGGCCGAAUAAUUUCCGAUUUAUCGAGCGGAGCGGAUGAAACGUCUCUGAAAUUUUCCGCAGACAAGGCUGAAAGCGACGUUGGUCGUGACGUGCGGCCGCGUCGAAAGAAAUUGACAAAGUUAAGGGGGAUGAAAGCAGCGAAAUAAGCAAGUCGUCUGACGGGCAAAGGUUCGGGGGGUUUUCGGUCGGAUAAUAUUCCAUCGGAUAUAAAUAUCAAAAAGCUGGCCAAGAUCCAAGGGAAAAUAAUUCUUUGACUGUCGUUUUCGAGCAACAACGGUAGCCGGGAAAAGCAGAGGCAGUAGAGAGGCUGAUAAUCGGGUCGCUGCAGCGUAACUUGUAUGAAUAAAUGUCCGACAUGCAUGCAGUCGGCGGUUGUACGUUGGAAUAAGAGGAACGUCUAGCGCGGAAUGAAGUAUAGCGUUGCAUUUUACCUUACGGGGAAUUUGAUUCAUAGCCGGAGGAAUUUUUAAUAGCCGAAUCGGACGAAGUUUACGAAUAUCUCUAGACGUUAUAAAUUUCGCAUUACGCUUCACUUAGGGAGGUUCGAGCGAUACGUUUCGGAUGCUUUGAAGAUAAACUUUACUUGUUAAAACUACAGUAGAGUGUACCGCGGCGAUUAUGUGCACAUCACGAGUGAAAAAUUGAGAACAGAAAGGAAACGGUGGCGAUAGAAAAGGGAAGAUGGAUGGAGAAUUCGUAACGCAUCGGUUCUGGGUGUUCGGUCGAUCGAAUCUUGGCUCAACGCGUAAUACGCAUUGCAUCUUCUUUCCCCCCAAGCCUUAUGGAUGUUUUGGCUGAGGAAAUGUUUGCGCAGGAAUCGGAGGUAGAGCCACUUGAGCAUGUAUAUUCAUCGAAAAGGAAAAAGGGAACAUCGACUCGACCGGAUACGUUGAGGAGGGCCGAUUUAUUUAUUCAUUUACUUACUCGCUUGUUUAUUUAUUUUUGAAAAAUUGAAUACUUGAAUAAAAUUUUUCGAUUUAUUACUGGAAUUUUCAAUGCAAAGCUUCCGCUUUUAUACCCUUGUUAUUAUCAUGCCCGCACAGAAAUAAGAUCUAGAAACCGGUCAGACGUCCGAAAAGUUUAAGGAAGACGAACCCAGGACGUUCAAGAGCUGUUAGGAAAUUUUUCAGUGGUAAAAAAAAAAAAAAUAUGUGGGGGGUGAGGAUAAAGAUGUAAAUAUCCGGUUCUGAAUUAGUAUUUAUAUUAACACGAGUUUUUUGGGGGUUUUAAUCCGAUGAAUUUCGGUAAGUUUUCGAGAGAGGGGACGAGAGUUGGGCACGUACACGCGCGGCGAGUGAAAGCUAAUCGGUAAAGUUGUCAGGACAAAUUCGUGUAAGAAUGGGGGUUCGAAACGUCGUUACUAAACUUUUGGUCGUUUCCUCGGAGAGUCGGCGGUUGGCAUAAGGAGGAAAAAAGAGGUGACGCCCGAGACGGAGACGAGGGUAACAACGGAAAGGAAUUCCUAGCCGAGAAAAGAUAGCAUCGUUAAUUCGUAUCACCCUGACUACUACUCUACGAGAGUACAUAUAUCUUCCUCGCGUCUCUUCGAGGCCACGCACUUCUCGUCCCUUCCCUAGUCAACGAUGGCCGGAUUCGUUUGUUAGCAGAAUUUAACAACUCCUCGUUUCCGCUGUAUAUACGCUAAUAAAAUCCAACGUUUUCCCGUCCUCCAACAUAUACUCGUGCGUAUCGAGAGGGCAAUAAAAUUUCAGGACCUUAUUUUUCUUCGGCCGCGUAAUUGGGUUAUCCGUAGACUUUAAAAACGGAUGAAAGUUUGUUUUUUUCUUCUUUCCUUUCGAUAUCGCGAAAAUUUUUG